rnacentral:rRNA from 1 species
AUACGUAGGGGGCAAGCGUUAUCCGGAUUUACUAGGUGUAAAGGGAGCGUAGACGGUGUGACAAGUCUGAUGUGAAAACCCGGGGCUCAACUCCGGGAUUGCAUUGGAAACGGCCAUACUAGAGUGCAGGAGAGGAAAGCGGAAUUCCUAGUGUAGCGGUGAAAUGCGUAGAUAUUAGGAGGAACACCGGCGGCGAAGGCGGCUUACUGGACUGUAACUGACGUUGAGGCUCGAAAGCGUGGGGAGCAAACAGGAUUAGAUACCCUGGUAGUCCACGCGGUAAACGAUGAAUACUAGGUGUUGGGGGUCUAUAGACCCUCGGUGCCGCAGCAAACGCAAUAAGUAUUCCACCUGGGGAGUACGUUCGCAAGAAUGAAACUCAAAUGAAUUGGCGGGG